AAGUCGUAACAAGGUCUCCGUAGGUGAACCUGCGGAGGGAUCAUUACUGCGAAAGGGCCUUCGGGCCCGACCGCUCACCCAUUGUUGACCAACACUUGUUGCCUCGGGGGCGACCCGGACGCCGACGCGUCGGCGUCGGCCCCCCCGACGGACCCUUCAAACUCUGUGUCUGUACGUCGGAGUACUUGAUGAAUCAAUCAAAACUUUCAACAACGGAUCUCUUGGUUCUG
rnacentral:misc_RNA from 1 species